UAACAAUGCUGAAGUAUAUACUUUGGUAAUUGGAAUGAGAACAAUUUAAACCCCUUAACGAGUAACCAUCAGAGGCAAGUCUGGUGCCAGCAGCCGCGGUAAUUCCAGCUCUGAUAGCGUAUAUUAAAGUUGUUGCAGUUAAAAAGCUCGUAGUUGGAUUUUAGAGUGUAUUGAUAUGGUCUCUUGUGAUAAACUUGUUGUACUGUGUCAAUUACUCUUUCCUACUGGUUACUCGACUCUGUUCUUUAUUGCAUGGAGUAGUGUCGCAAGGCAUCGCUUAGUAUUUUAUUGCUUUUAGAUGUAAUAAUUGGGUAAAACUGGUUAUGAAACCUAAGGGAUCACAGUAAGGUAUUAAGUGGGGUUCCAGUUCAUUUACUUUGAGUAAAUUAGAGUGUUCAAAGCAGCCUGUAUGGGCAUUGAAUAGAUUAGCAUGGGAUAAUAGAAUAGGAUUCUUAUCUAUUUAUUGGUUUAUAGAUUUAGAAUAAUGAUUAAUAGGGAUAGUUGGGGGC
rnacentral:rRNA from 1 species